rnacentral:rRNA from 2 species
UACGAAGGGUGCAAGCGUUAAUCGGAAUUACUGGGCGUAAAGCGUGCGUAGGCGGUUGGCUAAGUCAGAUGUGAAAGCCCUGGGCUCAACCUGGGAAUGGCAUUUGAAACUGGCCGGCUAGAGUGUGAUAGAGGAUGGCGGAAUUCCCGGUGUAGCGGUGAAAUGCGUAGAGAUCGGGAGGAACAUCCGUGGCGAAGGCGGCCAUCUGGAUCAACACUGACGCUGAGGCACGAAAGCGUGGGGAGCAAACAGG